CCUCAACCAGCAAACAGCAAAAGGUGGAAUCAGAGAGCAUCACAGCUUCAAUCACUGCAGUCAAGACAAAUCUACGGCAGACAAAACCUUAUAGCACAUCCCAAAAUGAUGAUGAAGAUCUGUGUCAUCCUCCUUCUGUGUGUUGGAACCACAGCUGCAGCAACAACCACAGCUGCUCCAACAACAACCACAGCUGCUCCAACAA